ACAGCCCUGGAAGGGGCCAUCUAGACUGCAAGUCCAGCUUCUGCUCAGUGCAUGAAUCUAAAUUAAAAUGUUCCACACAAAUGGCAGGCCUGCCUCUGCUUAAACACUUCCAGUGAAGGGGAACCCACCAUUUCUCUAGGUGUUUGGGAAGUUCAACAAAGUCCAUGCUUCUAGGAGUUCUGGGUACUGUAGUCCUAAUGUGUAUAGAAGAUGGCAGGUCAUAGAAGGCUGGAAUAAGAGAAUUUCACUGGAUUUAUUUCAACAAUGUAGUCAUACAUACAGGAAUUGGCUACCAGUUCUAUAAAUGAAAAUUUA